rnacentral:tRNA from 1 species
CGGGGCGUAGCGCAGCCUGGAUAGCGUGCUCGCUUGGGGUGCGAGAGGUCGGCAGUUCAAAUCUGCUCGCCCCGA